rnacentral:rRNA from 1 species
UACGUAGGGACCAAGCGUUGUUCGGAUUUACUGGGCGUAAAGGGCGCGUAGGCGGCUUAACAAGUCACUUGUGAAAUCUCCGGGCUUAACUCGGAACGGCCAAGUGAAACUGUCAAGCUAGAGUGCGGAAGGGGCAAUCGGAAUUCUUGGUGUAGCGGUGAAAUGCGUAGAUAUCAAGAGGAACACCGGUGGUGUAGACGGCUUUCUGGACCGACACUGACGCUGAAACACGAAAGCGUGGGUAGCAAACAGG